AAGCUUGAAGAAGAGGAGUUAAUCUCCUACAUCUUGACCAGAUUAGAUCAAGAGUAUGAUUUGGUCGUGGCAUCGGUGGUGGCGUGAGUUGAGCCGAUCACUGUUAAUGAGCUCUAUGCGCAACUCGUAUCCUUCGAGC
rnacentral:snoRNA from 1 species